CCCGCUGAACUUAAGCAUAUCAUUAAGCGGAGGAAAAGAAAAUAACAAUGAUUCCCCUAGUAACGGCGAGUGAAGCGGGAAGAGCUCAAGCUGAAAAUCCGGAAGCCUUGCGGUUUCCCGAAUUGUAGUCUAGAGACGUGCUGUCAGUGUGUGACCUGGGUAUAAGUCUUUUGGAACAAGGCAUCAUAGAGGGUGAGAAUCCCGUCUUUGACCCAGAGUACGCCACGUACGACACGCGUUCGAAGAGUCGAGUUGGUCGGGACUCCAGCUCUAAAUGGGUGGUAAGAUUCAUCUAAAGCUAAAUAUAGGCGGGAGACCGAUAGCGAACAAGUACCGUGAGGGAAAGAUGAAAAGAACUUUGAAAAGAGAGUUAAAAAGUACUUGAAAUUGUUAAGAGGAAAGCGAUGGAAACCAGUCGUGCCUGGUGCAACUAAAGUCUUCGCCGGCGAAGAAGGGGCGGUUUGAGUGGUUAAACCUCUGCCGUUUCUUGGACGUUGUGUGGGGGUGGACGUUGUGUUGGGUGGGUCAGCAUCGAUUUGGCUGCUUGGGAGAAAGCCGGGGGGGAGCUAGCUUCGCCUUCGGGUGUCGCCGUAUAAACCCCUGGCCCUACUGGGUGCUGGAUCGAGGACUUGACAACGUGCGCCUUCUGGCUUGGAUCCCGGCCCCUGCGGUGUCAACGGCUCUGGACAGAAAAUCUGUGCUGGUCGUGAAGCGCUGUACUGGGUUGGUGCAUUCAUAUGUACGUUCGCGAUGCUGACGAAAUGGUUCUCAUCGACCCGUCUUGAAACACGG
rnacentral:rRNA from 1 species